UACGUAGGUGACCAGCGUUGUCCGGAUUUAUUGGGCGUAAAGAGCGUGUAGGCGGCCAGGUAGGUCAGCUGUGAAAGCUCGAGGCUUAACCUCGAGACGCCGGCUGAAACCCUCUGGCUAGAGUCCGGAAGAGGAGAGCGGAAUUCCUGGUGUAGCGGUGAAAUGCGCAGAUAUCAGGAAGAACACCCGUGGCGAAGGCGGCUCUCUGGGACGGUACUGACGCUGAGACGCGAAAGCGUGGGGAGCGAACAGG
rnacentral:rRNA from 1 species